rnacentral:lncRNA from 1 species
GAACUUAAGCAGGAAAAGAAGAAAGCUGAAAACACACUGAGGAUUAUGGGAGAGGGGCAAGUGCAUGAAGCUUCUCAAUGACAUACAGACACUCUAAAAGCUCAAGAGAUCAAUUAUUCAACUUCAAGAACUGAAAUUUGAACACAGAUUUUGAGCUUCCAAAUCAGCUGCUAAUAUGGGAAAGAUUGAAAUCAGCAAGUUUCUGGCUGUAAGCUAAAAGAGGCUCUUGAAUCAUAUUUCCGCCUGCUUAGCAAAUUUCUCUUGCGACAAUUGGAUGUUAUUUGGGGUUCCAUACUAGCAGGAAGAAGUACAAGCAAAGCUAAGUCAUUUUGAGAAUAAAUAUUAUCUCUCUAUAUAUUUGUAAAUGUUAUUUUCUUUUUUUUUUGAGGUUUAUGAUUGAUCCUUGGCAUGUGUCCCCUUGUGUAUUGCUCUACUAAAAAUAGCCUAAAAAAGAAUUUUCCCCUCGAUGUGGAGCUUCUCUUUAAUUACAAUUCUACCUUCUCCUUCACUUCAGUAUCAGUCUUCAGAGAACUACCAUAACAAAGGAGUGGAUACAGAUAUACGCAAAAAAGUCUAUGAGAAAAUUAGUACAUUAAAUUUGUGAAAGCUCAUUUAAAGUAAUUUUCUACUAACAAUUUUAAUCAAAUGUAUUAAUCAUAUUUCUAUGCUUAGUGAUGUUAAAUAAAAAUUUAAAAGGUGGCAAUCAAUAAACAGAGAUAAAAGCUUCUCAAGAAUAAAUGAAAGGAAGUAAUAAAAAGACUCACUAAGCUGAAUUGCCUCCUAUCAACAGCAGCUGAUAAAAUAUUAAAAGAUUUGCCUUGUGUAAUGUCUCUGGAGAGCUGUCUUACUGAUGUACGAGGCCAUGAUUGACAACUUUGAGACUUUGCUGGAAGCGACAAAAGUAUAUCUAUAAUAUUAUGCUGAAUUGCAUAGGUCUUUCUUCUUAAAUGAGGCUAGAAAUAACAUACCACCAAGUGUUUGGCUUUUAGGAAAUUGAGCAUUUUCUUUAGUUCUAGCUGCAGUUUAAUUUCCUCAGAAUUAGACAUUAUGCGGUAUCUGGAACGUAAAAAAAAAAAA